UACGUAGGGUGCGAGCGUUAAUCGGAAUUACUGGGCGUAAAGCGUGCGCAGGCGGUUCGUCGUGUCCGAUGUGAAAGCCCCGGGCUCAACCUGGGAAUGGCAUUGGAAACUGGCGGACUCGAGUGUGGCAGAGGGGGGUGGAAUUCCACGUGUAGCAGUGAAAUGCGUAGAGAUGUGGAGGAACACCGAUGGCGAAGGCAGCCCCCUGGGCUGAGAUUGACGCUCAGGCACGAAAGCGUGGGGAGCAAACAGG
rnacentral:rRNA from 1 species